CAGAACAGAAACUUGUCAGUCUAAAAGUUUUUGAAUAUCUGAAAAAAUGGUAAGGACCACUAAGAGAUCAGUUUUAAUAAUUGGCUUGUUUUGUUUGGCUCUUCUAAUUUUCAUUUCAGGUACUGAAGCUAUUGAUCAAGCAGUUAAUAUAGGAAGAUGUUCUGAUUAUCCAGAUUGUAAUAAAGCUUGUAUUGAAGCAAAUUUUAAGCAUGGUGGUUGUUUGUUUUUUAAAGGAACAAAUAGUUGUUUCUGUGGACCCAUCGGCUAUCAGUAGUUAAUUAGUUGUGUCAUGAAUUAAUUGGCUUAUGUUGUUUCAUGAAUAAUUUG
rnacentral:lncRNA from 1 species